CCUGAUGGAGGGGGAUAACUACUGGAAACGGUAGCUAAUACCGCAUAACGUCGCAAGACCAAAGAGGGGGACCUUCGGGCCUCUUGCCAUCGGAUGUGCCCAGAUGGGAUUAGCUAGUAGGUGGGGUAAAGGCUCACCUAGGCGACGAUCCCUAGCUGGUCUGAGAGGAUGACCAGCCACACUGGAACUGAGACACGGUCCAGACUCCUACGGGAGGCAGCAGUGGGGAAUAUUGCACAAUGGGCGCAAGCCUGAUGCAGCCAUGCCGCGUGUAUGAAGAAGGCCUUCGGGUUGUAAAGUACUUUCAGCGGGGAGGAAGGGAGUAAAGUUAAUACCUUUGCUCAUUGACGUUACCCGCAGAAGAAGCACCGGCUAACUCCGUGCCAGCAGCCGCGGUAAUACGGAGGGUGCAAGCGUUAAUCGGAAUUACUGGGCGUAAAGCGCACGCAGGCGGUUUGUUAAGUCAGAUGUGA
rnacentral:rRNA from 1 species